GACGAACGCUGGCGGCGUGCUUAACACAUGCAAGUCGAACGGAAAGACCCUGCUUUUGUGGGGUGCUCGAGUGGCGAACGGGUGAGUAACACGUGAGUAACCUGCCCUUGACUUUGGGACAACUUCAGGAAACUGGGGCUAAUACCGGAUAGGAGCUCCUGCUGCAUGGUGGGGGUUGGAAAGUUUCGGCGGUUGGGGAUGGACUCGCGGCUUAUCAGCUUGUUGGUGGGGUAGUGGCUUACCAAGGCUUUGACGGGUAGCCGGCCUGAGAGGGUGACCGGCCACAUUGGGACUGAGAUACGGCCCAGACUCCUACGGGAGGCAGCAGUGGGGAAUAUUGCACAAUGGGCGGAAGCCUGAUGCAGCAACGCCGCGUGCGGGAUGACGGCCUUCGGGUUGUAAACCGCUUUCGCCUGUGACGAAGCGUGAGUGACGGUAAUGGGUAAAGAAGCACCGGCUAACUACGUG
rnacentral:rRNA from 1 species